GUUGAUGAUGUGCAAGCAUUGAACAAUCUUCACAGCCUUGUUAAUCAUUCUGUGGAUCUGAGGUCCCUGAAAGUGAACGGUGCUGGGGUGAGUCUUCAUGUGUUGCCAAUUUCCUUUGCUAUCACCAGCCGGGAGUACAACAGCACACUAAGAGACUCGCGAUCUGCUGAUUACUGCAGCCUUGGCAGAGCCGUGGUGGAGGCUUUGCAGAGAAUCCUGGAAGAAGAAUAUGGCCAUUUCAAGCAAGCAGUAAUCAAACACUU